rnacentral:lncRNA from 1 species
AGACCAACAAGGAAUACGUACGGAGAGGAGACACAUUCGUGCGCACACACACACGCACACACACACACACACACACACACACGCGCACGCGCGCACACACACACACACACACACACACACACACACACACACACACACACAGAGGCGCGCGCCACACACAGGCGCGCACACACACCCUCCCUCCGUCCCUCCCUCUCUCCCGCCGGCUCGACUGCCUCUGCCUCUGCCUCUCGCUUGCAGCCGGCAGCUGCACCUGCUCGCCUCCAGCCCUCGCCCCCAGCCCUCGCCCUUAGGACUCGCUCGAGCGGGGCCGGGGAUGUGGUCCCGGAGUGGCGGCGCGGGGACGCCGGAGCCCAGCGGCCUCCUGCCCCCACUAUCCCUGAGCUCUCAAUCGCAGCAGGCCCGAGAAGGAAAGUGACCAGGGCAGCAACUGGAGCCUGGGCUGAACAAGUUAAGGGGAUUUUCUGCCCACCUUCCAGGUUGUCCUCCAGCCAAAGGUGUCGGUGUGGAGCGAAUCUUUGCUGUGACCCCUCCCUCCAAACCUCCACCCCUGGAUGCCCAGCUCUGUUUCAGAGCCCAGGAGAGACACCAAAGGAGAAGAGCCUGUGCUUUUGCCCUGGAGACCUCCCACUGUCAUUGAGGAGAAAUAGAUUCACAGGCAUGAAAAGAUAGUUUCCAGUCUGACAUUAAUCCAACGUGUAAAGUCUGUCUUUUUUUUUUUUUUUU